rnacentral:tRNA from 1 species
UCAAUGGGUUAGGAUGGACGGAAAGAUUCGACUGUUAAUCGAAUGGUCGCUGGUUCGAAUCCAGCCCGGGGAGCCA